AUUGAACGCUGGCGGCAGGCUUAACCCAUGCAAGUCGAGCGAGCGGCGGACGGGUGAGUAAUGUCUGGGAACCUGCCUGAUGGAGGGGGAUAACUAAUGGCAACGGUAGCUCAUACCGCAUACCAUCAGAUGUGCCCAGAUGGGAUUAGCUAGUAGGUGGGGUAAUGGCUCACCUAGGCGACGAUCCCUAGCUGGUAUGAGAGGAUGACCAGCCACACUGGGACUGAGACACGGUCCAGACUCUUACGCUAGGCAGCAGUGGGGAAUAUUGCACAAUGGGCGCAAGCCUGAUGCAGCCAUGCCGCGUGUGUUAAGAAGGCCUUCGGGUUGUAAAGCACUUUCAGCGAGGAGGCGUUACUCGCAGAAGAAGCACCGGCUAACUCCGUGCCAGCCGCCGCGGUAAUUC
rnacentral:rRNA from 1 species